ACGGAGGGUGCGAGCGUUAUCCGGAUUUAUUGGGUUUAAAGGGUGCGUAGGCGGAUUAAUAAGUCAGUGGUGAAAACCUUCAGCUUAACUGGAGAACUGCCAUUGAUACUGUUAGUCUUGAGUACGGUCAAGGUAGGCGGAAUGUGUAAUGUAGCGGUGAAAUGCUUAGAUAUUGGGCAGAACACCGAUUGCGAAGGCAGCUUACUGGGCAAUUACUGACGCUGAGGCACGAAAGCGUGGGGAGCGAACAG
rnacentral:rRNA from 1 species